GACGAACGCUGGCGGCGUGCCUAAUACAUGCAAGUCGAACGCAGUGGGGACGGGUGAGUAACACGUGGGUAACCUCCAAUCAGAGGGGAUAAAACUUGGAAACAGGUGCUAAAACGAUACUGAUGGAUGGACCCGCGGUGAAUUAGCUAGUGGGUGAGGUAACGGCUCACCAAGGCCACGAUGCAUAGCCGCCCUGGUAGGGUUAUCGGCCACACUGGAACUGAGACACGGCCCAGACUCCUACGGGAGGCAGCAGUAGGGAAUCUUGGGCAAGGGCCGAAAGUCUGACCGAGCAACGCCGCGUGAUUGAAGAAGGUUUUCGGAUCUUAAAACUCUGUUGUUAGAGAAGCGGUAUCUAACCAGAAAGCCACGUCUAACUCCGUGCCAGCCGCCGCGGUAAUUC
rnacentral:rRNA from 1 species